rnacentral:rRNA from 1 species
GACGAACGCUGGCGGCGUGCCUAACACAUGCAAGUCGAGCGAGUGAAUCUCCUUCGGGAGUGAAGCUAGCGGCGGACGGGUGAGUAACACGUGGGCAACCUGCCUCAUAGAGGGGAAUAGCCUUUCGAAAGGAAGAUUAAUACCGCAUAAGAUUGUAGCUUCGCAUGAAGUAGCAAUUAAAGGAGCAAUCCGCUAUGAGAUGGGCCCGCGGCGCAUUAGCUAGUUGGUGAGGUAACGGCUCACCACGGCGACGAUGCGUAGCCGACCUGAGAGGGUGAUCGGCCACAGUGGGACUGAGACGCGGCCCAGACUCCUACGGGAGGCAGCAGUGGGGAAUAUUGCACAAUGGGGGAAACCCUGAUGCAGCAACGCCGCGUGAGUGAUGACGGCCUUCGGGUUGUAAAGCUCUGUCUUCAGGGACGAUAAUGACGGUACCUGAGGAGGAAGCCACGGCUAACUACGUGCCAGCAGCCGCGGUAA